GCCGACAGGAAGGUGAAGAAGUCAUCUGCGUGCUGUGAGGGUGGCGCACCCCAACUCCAUGGGGACAGAAGGUCCUGCAUUUAGGACCCUUCCAGACCUCACACCUAUGUAUCUCUUCAUCUGGCUGAUUACUUAUAUCCUUUCAAAGACGCUUCUUAGUAAACUGUGCCUCCCUCACAUGGCCAGCGGAGAAGGGCCUUGCCCUACCUCUCAGACUGCAGCCCUGAGCCACUCCUUGGAGGUGAGGAGCACCAUUCACCUGAGCAGCUCCCCGCCCUGGUGUCUGAGAAAUAAAUCUGCCUUCAGUCAUACGGUUCUACCAAUCUGAGCACACG
rnacentral:lncRNA from 10 species